rnacentral:rRNA from 1 species
GACGAACCGAGCGAACGUUGUUCGGAAUCACUGGGCUUAAAGGGCGCGUAGGCGGGUGCUCAAGUCCGGGGUGAAAUCCUCCAGCUCAACUGGAGAACUGCCUCGGAUACUGGGUGCCUCGAGGGUGGCAGGGGUAUGCGGAACUAUCGGUGGAGCGGUGAAAUGCGUUGAUAUCGAUAGGAACUCCGGUGGCGAAGGCGGCAUACUGGUCCACUUCUGACGCUGAGGCGCGGAAA